ensembl:lncRNA
UGGUUGCUAGGUUACUUGGGGUGGUUGCUAAGGUGUUGCUAAGCGGUUGCUAGGAUGUUCUGGGUGGUUGCUAGGCGGUUGCUAGGCAGUUGCUAAGGUACUUGGGGUGGUUGCUAAGCGGUUGCUAGGGUGUUCUGGGUGGUUGCUAGGCGGUUGCUAGGGUGUUCUGGGUGGUUGCUAGGCGGUUGCUAUGGUAACCGGGGUAGUUGCUAUGCUGUUACUAGGUGGUUGGUAGUUGUCACAGAUGGUCACUAUGAAGUUUAUAUAGAGUUCAUAGCAUGUUGUUAGCCAAUUUGAGCACUUAGCUAAUCACUAUUAGCAUGUAGCUAUUCACUGCUAGCAUGACUAGCAAGUUGGAAUUCCAGUUUGCUAGCAUGAGUCAAAAAAGCCAACCGCCAUGUCUGUACGAUGUUCUGAUG